CGAACGCUGGCGGCGUGCUUAACACAUGCAAGUCGAGCGGUAAGGCCCUUUCGGGGGUACACGAGCGGCGAACGGGUGAGUAACACGUGGGUGACCUGCCCUUAGCUCUGGGAUAAGCCUGGGAAACUGGGCCUAAUACCGGAUAUGACCUCAUGACUCAUGUUGUGGGGUGGAAAAGCCUUGUGCGGCUAGGGAUGGGCCCGCGGCCUAUCAGCUUGUUGGUGGGGUGAUGGCCUACCAAGGCGACGACGGGUAGCCGGCCUGAGAGGGCGACCGGCCACACUGGGACUGAGACACGGCCCAGACUCCUACGGGAGGCAGCAGUGGGGAAUCUUGCGCAAUGGGCGAAAGCCUGACGCAGCGACGCCGCGUGA
rnacentral:rRNA from 1 species